UACGUAGGGGGCAAGCGUUAUCCGGAUUUAUUGGGUUUAAAGGGUGCGCAGGCGGAAGAUCAAGUCAGCGGUAAAAUUGCGGGGCUCAACCCCGUCGAGCCGUUGAAACUGUCAGACUUGAGUUGGCGAGAAGUACGCGGAAUGCGCGGUGUAGCGGUGAAAUGCAUAGAUAUCGCGCAGAACUCCGAUUGCGAAGGCAGCGUACCGGCGCCACACUGACGCUGAGGCACGAAAGCGUGGGGAUCGAACAGG
rnacentral:rRNA from 1 species